GUCAUGCUUGGUGAUCAUGUAAUGCAGUCUGUCGUCUUUCUUCUCAUCGGGAGACGGAGCCCAGGAGACCGUUACUGUUCCGGACACGUUCUCAUCCAGCUCCACGGGGCCUGGAACCUUGGGGUCAUCUAGAAACAGUUGAACAGAUUUUCAAACAAUAUUGUUGACAUCGAGAGGAUCCAGAUGAUUACCGGCAGCUUAGAAGAGGCUGCACAGAUUCAUAGACCUUUGGGGGUCUACUUGUUCAGCCGCUGCAGCCUGGACAGAAAUAGAAAUACCACUUCUCACAUCACAGACCAAAGAGGUGUCAGCAGUCCACAAUUGCAGUCCUUGUACAAUAAAGAAGUUCUCUGAGCAGAAGAUCACAACAAAGAGAUGAAUUCAUGGGAACAACUGGAUUUACCCAGGGUGAAGGAAGAGGAGGCGGUGCCUGCUGAAGUUCUGGAUCUGAAGCGGAUGAAAGAAAAGCAGUUAUAAUGCUUCUACAGACACACUUCAUAGCAUACUGCUAAAUGACAUGCAGCAACUUGCUGGUCCUACAGUUCAAGUGAGACACUUUGUUUUACAUCCACUUGUCACGUAAACAAUGGGCAUCUUAAUGAGCAGCAAGAUGCUAGAGGUCUCAUGUCAGUCUGGUGUAAAAGUUAUGGGAAACCUCCAGCAUCCUCUUCUCCGUUAUUCAAAUGGAGACACUUUGUUUUAGCUCCCACCUGCUUAAUAAUGACACUAUAAUGCAGCUAUGAGUACAUUUUCCAGACUAACAUGUCUCAAUUAAGCAUCUUUAUGAACAUUGAACUGCUUUU